rnacentral:lncRNA from 1 species
GCUCAUAUCUGUAAUCCCAGCACUACCAGAGGCCAAGGUGGGCAGACGGUUUGAGCCUAGGAAUUUGAGACCAGCCUUGGCAACAUGGCAAAGACCCAUUUCUACAAAAACAAAAAACAUAAAAAUUAGCCAGGUGUGAUAGCACACGCCUAUAGUCCCAGCUACUCGGGAGGCUGAGAGGUGGGAGGAUCACUUGAGCCUCAUUACACAGAAGCCAGUUGAAAGCCUGAAGAAAUGACGGUUAAAUGAGUUCAAGAAUAAAAUACAUGAGUUUAAAAAGUACUCAGAAA